AGAGUUUGAUCAUGGCUCAGAACGAACGCUGGCGGCGUGCUUAACACAUGCAAGUCGAACGUGAUCCAGAGCUUGCUCUGGUGAAAGUGGCGCACGGGUGAGUAACGCGUGGAUAACCUGCCCUGGUAUCUGGGAUAACAUCUCGAAAGGGGUGCUAAUACCGGAUAAGCCCACGGACUCCUCGGAGUCUGCGGGAAAAGGUGGCCUCUAUUUAUAAGCUACCGUAUCAUGAUGGGUCCGCGUACCAUUAGCUAGUUGGUGGGGUAAUGGCCUACCAAGGCUACGAUGGUUAGCUGGUCUGAGAGGAUGAUCAGCCACACUGGAACUGAGACACGGUCCAGACUCCUACGGGAGGCAGCAGUGGGGAAUUUUGCGCAAUGGGGGAAACCCUGACGCAGCAACGCCGCGUGAGUGAUGAAGGCUUUCGGGUCGUAAAGCUCUGUCAGAGGGGAAGAAAUGGAAACGGUCAAUACCCGUUUUUCUUGACGGUACCCUCAAAGGAAGCACCGGCUAACUCCGUGCCAGCAGCCGCGGUAAUACGGGGGGUGCAAGCGUUGUUCGGAUUUAUUGGGCGUAAAGCGCGUGUAGGCGGUUUCUUAAGUCUGAUGUGAAAGCCCUGGGCUCAACCCAGGAAGUGCAUUGGAAACUGGGAGACUUGAAUACGGGAGAGGGUAGUGGAAUUCCUAGUGUAGGAGUGAAAUCCGUAGAUAUUAGGAGGAACACCGGUGGCGAAGGCGGCUACCUGGACCGAUAUUGACGCUGAGACGCGAAAGCGUGGGGAGCAAACAGGAUUAGAUACCCUAGUAGUCC
rnacentral:rRNA from 1 species